GUUGCUUAUAAAAAAAACAAAACUUAAAAAUAUUUUAUAUAUACGUUAAACACAUACAAUUAUACAGUAGACUGUGAUUAUAUAAAAUAGUUUAGUAGAAUACGAAAAAAAAAAAAACAAUACAAUGAUUGGUUUCUUCUAAAUGUAACGUGCUUUGUGUGGUCAGUAACAUAAUUCAAAUUUGUGCGUAUAUUCCAGGCGUUCUCAAAUAAUACUGCCUAUCCAUAUCAGGCAGUACCAGGUUGAUCUCUGCUUUGCCAGAAACAUGGCGUAAAGUGAUUGUUGCACAUGUGUCAGUGAUUUGGUAAGAUAUGAUAAAUUCAGUUCGUUCUUUAUAAUUCGAUGAGUAAUAUAAGUAUUAUAUUAUUCCGUGGUUUUCAACAGUACGGUAUUUAGAUAUUGUGUAGAUAUUGUGAGGAAAUAUAUAAAUUUAGUUCACAAAGUGACAUCGUUGAUUGAUUUGGUCUAUAUUACUAGAUUUCAUAUUGAGAUACAUAUCAUUACAAUUAUAUUAUUGGUAACAAAAUAACAGAAUAUCAUGGUUCAUAGGACGAAUGAAAUUAAUAAAAAAUGUUUAAUUCCAUAUAUCAUCAAAGAAUCUAAGGAUAAACAAGGUAUAAGCGGAAAGCUUGAGCUGCAUGAAUCUAUGCAAGUUAAAGAUCUGUAUAGUCUUAUUGAAGCACAACAUCAAUUACGUCCAGAUACUUUUACAGUACAUUUAAAUACGGGACAAAGAAAAAUGGUUAGUCUAUCUGAAAUGAUAAAUAAAACAAUGCUAGAACUAUCAUUACUUGAUAUGGACUUUGAACCUAACUCAGAAUCAAAUGAAACGAUGAAUACUCUUGUUGUCAAUGUUCAUAAUAAGGUUAUGAAAUAUUUAGCAUGUGAGCCAUCAAUAUGUGAUCCUACACCUUCAUACCAAGUAUCUAGUUGGAAUGAGAAUAACAUUAAUUUGAAAACUCCUAUCAAACCUGAAACAAGCUAUGUUGGUUUGGUCAAUCAAGCAAUGACAUGUUAUCUCAAUAGUCUCCUUCAAGCAUUAUAUAUGACACCAGAAUUUCGUAAUGCUCUUUACAAUUGGGAGUAUAUUGAAGGUUCAGAAAAAGAUGAAACUAAAAGUAUUCCAUAUCAGUUACAGAAAUUGUUCCUUAACUUGCAGACUUCUACAAAAUCUGCAGUGGAGACUACAUCUUUAACCAAAAGCUUUGGAUGGAAUUCUAAUGAAGCUUGGCAACAACACGAUAUUCAAGAACUUUGCAGAGUUAUGUUUGAUGCUUUGGAACUGAAAUUUAGAAACACAGAACAAGCUGAUCUUAUUAAUAGAUUGUAUGAAGGAAAAAUGAAUGAUUAUGUGAAGUGUUUGGAAUGUGGAACAGAGAAGUCAAGAGAAGACACUUUUCUUGAUAUUCCUCUACCAGUUAGGCCAUUUGGUAGCAAUGUAGCAUACAACAGUGUGGAAGAAGCGAUAAAAGCUUUUGUUCAAUAUGAAACAUUAGAGGGAGCAAAUCAGUAUCAUUGCGAAAAAUGUAACAAAAAAUGUAAUGCACAGAAAGGAUUAAAGUUCACUAAAUUUCCAUAUCUUUUAACAUUACAUCUGAAGCGAUUUGAUUAUGACAAUAACAGUUGUCAUAGAAUCAAACUUAAUGAUAAAGUCACGUUUCCAGAUACACUUUUCUUAAAUUCCUUUAUUUCAUCUACAAAUCAAGAAUCGCCUUCUGGAGAAGAAGAUAUUGGCGUGGGUGUUAAAUGUGAUGAUAGUUCAACUACAGAUAGUGGUACAUUAGAUGAUGAUUGCCCACCAUGUGAUAAUAAUCUCACAAAUAGUAGUUUAUUGACAAAUCACGAUCCAGACGAUGAUGAAGGUAUCGAUAUGAGUAAUGGACCAUCGACAUCUAAUUGUAGUAAACACAAUCAUAAAAAUGAAAAACACCAAAGUAAUUGCAUAAUAGAAUCAGGUCCUUAUGUAUAUGAAUUAUUUUCAAUUAUGAUACAUAGUGGAAGUGCCAGUGGUGGGCAUUAUUAUGCUUACAUUAAAGAUUUUAGAACACGAGAAUGGUGGUGCUUCAAUGAUCAAAGUGUUACUCAGAUAACUGAGGAUGAUAUUCAAAAAACAUAUGGUGGUGGUUCAAUUAGAGCAUAUUAUAGUGGAGCAUAUAGUAGUAGCACAAAUGCAUAUAUGCUUAUGUAUAGACAAAUAGAUCCAACUCGUAAUGCUUUACCAAUGCAGGCACAAGAUUUUCCUCGGCAUAUACAGGAUUUGUUAAAAAAAAUUAAAGAAAGUGAAGACAAUGACAGAAAGAAUAGGGAAAAACAGAUAGCAUGUCCAAAAUUAAAAGUUUACUGUCAUCAUCCGGUAACUGGUAACUUAUGUCACACAAGAUUAAUUGUAAUGCCAGAAUAUAAACUAGCUGAAGUAACGGAAGAAGCUUAUAAAAAAUUUGAUCUUCGUGGAGUAGUUAAAUUAAAUCAAUGCCGUUUAGUAGCGUAUAAACACAGUGCAGAUUUGAUAGAAUGUAGUUAUGAAGGAAGAGAUCAAGAAGAAAUUUCUACUAUUUGGUAUAAUAAAAGUUAUGUCGAACUUCUUUUAGAAAUAUGUAAAGAGGAUCAAAUGUUCGAAAUUUAUCAACCUGGUGGUAUUACAACUAAAGUAUUUGUGAUAGAUAUUCCCAAAGUAGAAGUUAUAGAUGGACCAAUUAAUGUACGAGGAUUGCUUACACAAAGUGUCAAGGAUUACAAGCAAAUAUUAGGAAACAUCAUUAAUAUGGAUCCUAAGCAAAUGAAACUAGUUUUACUAGUUUUACGAAAACGCAAAACAGAUAUUAAAUUAAUAGAUAAGGAUGAUAUUGACCUUCAAACAGCUGAAUUUAUGGAUGCAAGUAAUAAAGUAUUUGUAUCUACUAUGCUUGAUGUCGAUAGUAAUAAACCAUUUUAUGAGACAACAUUAUAUAAACUCAUAUUAAGGUUUGAAAAUAUUAUCUCAUUGCAAGUACAGAUACCGGACAUAAGCAAAGAAAUUCUUGAAGAGUUAGAUUUACCUUUAACUGACAAAUAUGAAAAUAGAGAAAAUCGUUUCAGUAAUGGACCAUCUAAAUUAUCAAUUAAUGAUUUAAUAAAGCGUGAUCUUGAAGUACAAUAUAACACGUUCCGGGAUAUUAUUAAAAAAUCGGUGAAAAAUGAUGAUCUUCCUAUACCAGAUUUCCUAUUAGGAGAACCAGAAGAGUGGAAUACUUCUGAACAAAGUAAUAGCGAAGACAGCAGUCUUAGUGAUAGUGAUAAAACUUUGGUAGGAGAUACUCAAGAAGAUGAUGAUUUUCCACCAUCUUAUCACCCACCACUUUCGGAUAAUAGACGAUUUGAAAUAGUAAAUCAAAUAGACAUACAAACUUCUGAUAUUGAUGAUGAGUCUGAAUAUUACUUUAAGGCUACUUCAUGUACAAACAACGCUCGAAAAUUACUUAAGGUUUUAGUAGAUAAAAGAAUGCGAUUAAGCACUUUGAAAAAAGAUUUGCAGCCUUAUGUAGGCGUGCCUGUAGAAUAUUUCAAAGUUUUCCGACAAUCUGGUGAUUCUGAAUCUGAAUGCACUUGUCUGACAGAACAACUUUUUGCUUUUGAUGAUGGUGAACGACUUAAUUUAAAACUAGGAAGAGCUUUGCGUAAUGGAGAAUAUAAAAUAAAGCUAUUUCAAUUACAUAUCGAUUCAAUUACAGAGCCCUACAAAUUUUUAUGCGAAACAAUUCUUUCUAAAGACAUGACAUUUGGUCAAGCAAAGAAACAAAUUUUAGCAGAAAUAAAGAAGAAGUACAAUAUAGACAUACCAUAUGAAAAAUGUAGAUUGAGAAAAAAAUAUUAUAAUACGGCUUCCAAGGUAUUCUUAGAUAAACAGAAAUUUGAUCAACAACUACUCACACAAUUUGAAAUGAUUGUCCAAGAAUUACCAGAAAAAGAAGUUGUUACUGAUAACGACAAUCAAGUAGUUUUGUUUGUUCGAAGAUGGUCUCCUGCCAAAGUACAACUUGGUCAAUUUCAAGAGGUUGUAUUAGAUGAAAAGUUGAUAGAAGAAUUGAGAAGAAAAAUAUCUUCUAUAUCAAAUAUACCUGAAAAAUACAUAGAUAUAGCAAAGGGAAAAGGUACUUUUCCAUGUGAUAUACCUGUAUUAAAAGUCCAAACUGACCAUCAAUGGAAUGAACAUAUUACUGGUAACGAAAAUGUAUACGAUGAUUUUGAAGAUGGUAGUGUCUUCUUAUACAGGGAUAGCCGAGAAGAGUUAAAAAAGUUAAGUCCAGAUGAAACGAAGGAAAUCACUAAUAAAGAAACUGCACGUUUCAUACAACUUUCAUCCUCAACAGGUUAUAAUCGACGUAGUGAGAAAGCGCUUAAAAUAUAUUUGGAUACUAAAUGAUCCUGUAUUAAUUGUACAUCUACUGAAUGGCAGUAGUUAAAUGAAUACAAUAAGGAACAUGAAACAUUGAGGUGCAAAGUACUUGAAGCACAUCAAACAGUGAUUAUAUCACAUUUUCAAGAAACCAAAUGUUUUAUGCUCCAGUAUCUAUUGACUUUGUGCAAAUAUCAUACCAAAAGAAAGAAGUUAAUAUUCAUAAGAUAAUAUAUCAAUUGAAAAUGAUUUCAAAUCGAGUGAUCACUGUUUACUAAAAGAUAAUUAUUUUUAAAUCAAUCCCAGCUGUUAUUUAGUACAUAAUAACAUGCCCGAUUUUUAUUGUUAUUCAUGUAACUUUUAUUUAUUGUAUGUUGUGUAAAAAACAAGUUUGGUGUGUGUUAAUAAAUUACAUAUAUAAUGAUUACUUUGAUUGUAUGUGGAACUAUUUCAUUGGCAGAUAAAAAAUGGAAUUUAUAGACAAAUGAGAACAUUAGGUAUAUGAGAUUAGAAUCUUUCCAGGAUUAUGUUAAUUUUUUAUAAAUGAUAUUAUCUUUACAUUGAUAAUUAGAAUUUUUUUUGCACAACAAACAAAAAAUUAUCAAUAAAAUGCACCAAGUGGAACAAAUAUUGUAAUUAAAUAAAAAUGUAAACUAUUAUGAGUAUAAGGCUCCAAUUGUAAAAUUAAUUGAUUUUUAUUACUGUCGGAAAAUUGAAUGAUAGCUAUAAACUAUUGUCAUUGAAUGAGAAAAAUUUUCUCAGUUUCGCUAUGAUUUAGUUCUCUGUACAGAUAUAUACAAGCCAAUGUGUCAAAUAAUGCUGUAGAUUGGAAUAACAAUUUGCAUUUUUUGCAUAUAAUAUAAAAACAUUCAGUAUAAUAUCUUCAUUAUGACUUAGCAUGCAUACAUGCUAAUACAUAUAACAAUUAAUUUGAUUGCUUAUUCUUAGUAAUAUAAAUCAUAGAAAAUACAAGGAAGUUUGUGCAUGUACAUACAUAUGUGCAUGCACACGCAAUGUGUGAGUGAGAGAGUGAGAGAGAGAGAGAGAAAGAGAGAGAGAGAGUGAGAGAGAGAGUGUGAGAGAGAGAGAGAGAGUGAGAGAGUAAAAUAGAAUAUUUUUAUCCUUUUUGUGGAUAAAUUAAUUCCGAGAUUAUAAAAUAUAUUUCGUUUAACAUAUGUGUAUACAGGUUGCCAUCUGAACUUUCCAAUCAGCUAUGAUCCAAUGUUAUGCCUUGUAAUAUAUGUGACAAUUAUGAACCAAAUUAUAUUUAUAAUUAUGAACAAAUGAAAGAUUUGAAAAUGGAAUGGACUUUUUGGUCAGAAAUAGAUUGCUGUACGAGAUUUCAUCUAUCUUUAUAGUGUGAUGCUUUUCUUAUUUUUGUGUUGCUGUGUUGACAUCAUUAAUCACUGUUAUUGUUUUAUUAAAUAUAAAUAAAUUUGUUCCUUGUAUUUGAAA